rnacentral:rRNA from 1 species
GACGAACGCUGGCGGCGUGUUUAACACAUGCAAGUCGAACGGAGAAUGCCAAGUAGCAAUAUGAGGUGUUCUUAGUGGCGGACGGGUGAGUAACGCGUGAGCAAUUUGCCUUAGGGUGGGGGACAACAGCUGGAAACGGCUGCUAAUACCGCAUAUGACAACGGGGGGGCAUCCUUCUGUUGUAAAAGGAGCAAUCCGCCCUUUGAUGAGCUCGCGUCCCAUUAGCUUGUUGGCGGGGUAACAGCCCACCAAGGCGACGAUGGGUAGCCGGACUGAGAGGUUGGCCGGCCACACUGGAACUGAGACACGGUCCAGACUCCUACGGGAGGCAGCAGUGAAGAAUAUUGGGCAAUGGGCGAAAGCCUGACCCAGCAACGCCGCGUGAGGGAAGAAGGUUCUCGGAUUGUAAACCUCUGUCCCAUGGGAAGAAACAAAUGACGGUACCAUGGGAGGAAGCCCCGGCUAACUACGUGCCAGCCGCCGCUGUAACAC